CCCCAAUAUUCAUGCAAUAACCCUAUAAUAUAGAUCAUUUGUAUUAUAAUGAUUAUACACUCCAUCCUUACAUAAAAAUAUUACAGAUUUACUAUGCGACUAUAAGAGUUGUAUAAAAAAAGAGCAAAUAUGGUCAGUUUUGGUUGAUGUGGUCAAAUAUGGUCAGUUUUGGUUGAUGCUGUCAAAUGUGGUUAGUUGUGAUUGAUACAGACAAAUAAUUUUGUAACACGAGUCUGAGGUAUAAAAACUACUGAUAUUUUUUUUCUGAUUCGAUAUUUUGAAUAAAAAUAGGAAAUGCUGGCACCCUCAAUUAACAUGAUUAAUGCGAGAGAAAAAAAUUGUGUUCAUUGAUUUCCAAUAUUGCAGUAAAUUAUAUACUACAGUCC
rnacentral:lncRNA from 1 species